rnacentral:lncRNA from 1 species
UGUGGACAAGGACAUAGUUAGUUAAUUCGGAUUCAGCAAAAAUUCGGUACGGGUAUAAUUCGGAUAAAAUUCGUCUUUUAAUUUUUAAAUUCGUUAAAAAAUACGGCUAAAAAACGAAUUCGGUAAUUAUUCGGAUACGUGAUUUAUACGGAUAUUAUACGUUCACCAAUUAAAAAUUCGGAAUAAAAAAUUCGACUAUAUAAGAAAUAUAUAAUAAUUAAUAUACUAUAUAUAUUAUUAUUAUAAUUUUUGUAUAUAGAUUAAAUAUAUUCAUAUAUUAAUAAUAAACCUUUAUUAAUAAUACAUAAAAUUUAUAUAUUUAAAAAUAUUAAUAAAUAAUUACAAAUUUAUAAACAAAAUAUUGUAUAAAUAUUUCUAUAUAAAAAUAAAAUAAUAUAUAUAAUAAAUGAAUAUAUAUUUAUAAAUAAAAUUUCACACACGGAGGUCC